rnacentral:lncRNA from 1 species
GCCAUUGUUUAGCUCUAUCCUUAAGAGAAAAAGGAAACAGCCUGAGUUUCAGAGCAUCAUCAGUGAAGUUCUGAAUUUUGACAGUAGUGCAGAUCUCAAGGAACUCAUCUAAAUGUUUGUAUGAGUCUUCAUUAGUAAGUCCAUAAAAAGAGGGAAGCAUUUGGAUGACACUAGACUUAAUUUCAAACUGCACAGCAGCAGUGGUAUCAGGUAGUCGGAUACAAGAUGGAGAGGUAUAAAUGGAAGGAGUGAAGUACUCCUUUAACAGCUUGGGUUGUUCUUCGGCUAUCUUGAUAGGUGAAGCAGAUCCUAGGGUUCUAUAAGUGCGGAUUUCGGCUCAAGGGCCCUAAAAGAACGCUCUAUUUCAGAGUCAAACGGUACUAAUUCAAGAGAUCUAGAACGACACCCUAGCAUACACUAAGACUCCUUUGAUCAGUACAGUCAAGCAUGCACUAAAAAAGAAAAACACAAUUCCUUAUGUUCACCCUAAAAUCACUGGACAGC